rnacentral:rRNA from 1 species
UACGGAGGGGGCUAGCGUUGUUCGGAAUUACUGGGCGUAAAGCGCACGUAGGCGGCUUUGUAAGUUAGAGGUGAAAGCCCGGAGCUCAACUCCGGAAUUGCCUUUAAGACUGCAUCGCUUGAAUCAUGGAGAGGUGAGUGGAAUUCCGAGUGUAGAGGUGAAAUGCGUAGAUAUUCGGAAGAACACCAGUGGCGAAGGCGACUCACUGGACAUGUAUUGACGCUGAGGUGCGAAAGCGUGGGGAGCAAACAGG